UACGGAAGGCAGCAGUGGGGAAUAUUGCACAAUGGGCGCAAGCCUGAUGCAGCCAUGCCGCGUGUAUGAAGAAGGCCUUCGGGUUGUAAAGUACUUUCAGUCGUGAGGAAGGUGUUAAGGUUAAUAACCUUAGCAAUUGACGUUAGCGACAGAAGAAGCACCGGCUAACUCCGUGCCAGCAGCCGCGGUAAUACGGAGGGUGCGAGCGUUAAUCGGAAUUACUGGGCGUAAAGGGCACGCAGGCGGUUAAUUAAGUUGGAUGUGAAAUCCCCGGGCUUAACCUGGGAAUGGCAUUCAAGACUGGUUAGCUAGAGUCUUGUAGAGGGGGUUAGAAUUCCAUGUGUAGCGGUGAAAUGCGUAGAGAUGUGGAGGAAUACCGGUGGCGAAGGCGGCCCCCUGGACAAAGACUGACGCUCAUGUGCGAAAGCGUGGGGAGCAAAC
rnacentral:rRNA from 1 species